rnacentral:rRNA from 1 species
AAGCUUGCUUGUUGGGGUUGUAGGACACUCUAUACGGAGUUACAAAGGACGACAUUAGACGAAUCAUCUGGAAAGAUGAAUCAAAGAAGGUAAUAAUCCUGUAGUCGAAAAUGUUGUCUCUCUUGAGUGGAUCCUGAGUACGACGGAGCACGUGAAAUUCCGUCGGAAUCUGGGAGGACCAUCUCCUAAGGCUAAAUACUCUCUAGUGACCGAUAGUGAACCAGUACCGUGAGGGAAAGGUGAAAAGCACCCCGGAAGGGGAGUGAAAUAGAACCUGAAACCGUGUGCUUACAAGUAGUCAGAGCCCGUUAAUGGGUGAUGGCGUGCCUUUUGUAGAAUGAACCGGCGAGUUACGAUUUGAUGCAAGGUUAAGCAGUAAAUGUGGAGCCGUAGCGAAAGCGAGUCUGAAUAGGGCGUUUAGUAUUUGGUCGUAGACCCGAAACCAGGUGAUCUACCCUUGGUCAGGUUGAAGUUCAGGUAACACUGAAUGGAGGACCGAACCGACUUACGUUGAAAAGUGAGCGGAUGAACUGAGGGUAGCGGAGAAAUUCCAAUCGAACCUGGAGAUAGCUGGUUCUCUCCGAAAUAGCUUUAGGGCUAGCCUCAAGUGAUGAUUAUUGGAGGUAGAGCACUGUUUGGACGAGGGGCCCCUCUCGGGUUACCGAAUUCAGACAAACUCCGAAUGCCAAUUAAUUUAACUUGGGAGUCAGAACAUGGGUGAUAAGGUCCGUGUUCGAAAGGGAAACAGCCCAGACCACCAGCUAAGGUCCCAAAAUAUAUGUUAAGUGGAAAAGGAUGUGGCGUUGCCCAGACAACUAGGAUGUUGGCUUAGAAGCAGCCAUCAUUUAAAGAGUGCGUAAUAGCUCACUAGUCGAGUGACACUGCGCCGAAAAUGUACCGGGGCUAAACAUAUUACCGAAGCUGUGGAUUGUCCUUUGGACAAUGGUAGGAGAGCGUUCUAAGGGCGUUGAAGCAUGAUCGUAAGGACAUGUGGAGCGCUUAGAAGUGAGAAUGCCGGUGUGAGUAGCGAAAGACGGGUGAGAAUCCCGUCCACCGAUUGACUAAGGUUUCCAGAGGAAGGCUCGUCCGCUCUGGGUUAGUCGGGUCCUAAGCUGAGGCCGACAGGCGUAGGCGAUGGAUAACAGGUUGAUAUUCCUGUACCACCUAUAAUCGUUUUAAUCGAUGGGGGGACGCAGUAGGAUAGGCGAAGCGUGCGAUUGGAUUGCACGUCUAAGCAGUAAGGCUGAGUAUUAGGCAAAUCCGGUACUCGUUAAGGCUGAGCUGUGAUGGGGAGAAGACAUUGAGUCUUCGAGUCGUUGAUUUCACACUGCCGAGAAAAGCCUCUAGAUAGAAAAUAGGUGCCCGUACCGCAAACCGACACAGGUAGUCAAGAUGAGAAUUCUAAGGUGAGCGAGCGAACUCUCGUUAAGGAACUCGGCAAAAUGACCCCGUAACUUCGGGAGAAGGGGUGCUCUUUAGGGUUAACGCCCAGAAGAGCCGCAGUGAAUAGGCCCAAGCGACUGUUUAUCAAAAACACAGGUCUCUGCUAAACCGUAAGGUGAUGUAUAGGGGCUGACGCCUGCCCGGUGCUGGAAGGUUAAGAGGAGUGGUUAGCUUCUGCGAAGCUACGAAUCGAAGCCCCAGUAAACGGCGGCCGUAACUAUAACGGUCCUAAGGUAGCGAAAUUCCUUGUCGGGUAAGUUCCGACCCGCACGAAAGGCGUAACGAUUUGGGCACUGUCUCAACGAGAGACUCGGUGAAAUCAUAGUACCUGUGAAGAUGCAGGUUACCCGCGACAGGACGGAAAGACCCCGUGGAGCUUUACUGUAGCCUGAUAUUGAAAUUCGGCACAGCUUGUACAGGAUAGGUAGGAGCCUUUGAAACGUGAGCGCUAGCUUACGUGGAGGCGCUGGUGGGAUACUACCCUAGCUGUGUUGGCUUUCUAACCCGCACCACUUAUCGUGGUGGGAGACAGUGUCAGGCGGGCAGUUUGACUGGGGCGGUCGCCUCCUAAAAGGUAACGGAGGCGCUCAAAGGUUCCCUCAGAAUGGUUGGAAAUCAUUCAUAGAGUGUAAAGGCAUAAGGGAGCUUGACUGCGAGACCUACAAGUCGAGCAGGGUCGAAAGACGGACUUAGUGAUCCGGUGGUUCCGCAUGGAAGGGCCAUCGCUCAACGGAUAAAAGCUAC